CGCAAACGAACGGCCUCACUGAUGCGU
rnacentral:sRNA from 1 species